ensembl:lncRNA
CGCCUGGAGCGGCGGGCGGAGAGAAAGGAAUCGUGCGAGCGCUCACAUUUUUUUCUCCCAAAGAUCUCAUCCGGCCGCCGCGUUCUGGAAGAGACGAGGGGACAGCGCGCGCGAGCAGAGGAGAGGCCGCGCGGGGAAGGGAGGCGGCGAGACGCGCAGCGCCCGCGCCCGGGAGACCCAGGAGGAGCCCGCAGGUGGAGGGGUGCCUUCUCAGGACCCCCCUCUGAGCCCAGAGAAGGUGCUGCAGUGGGAGAGCCUGGGAAAGCUGGUGCAGCCGGAGCCUAUGGCCUCGUGGGGGGACUCUCCCCACUCCGCAGCCCCACCGUGAAGGUGAGAGCCGGACCUGGCCACAAUGGACACUGGGCUUUGGCUGGACAGACACAGGGAUGAAUGAACCAGUAAUGAAUGAAUGAAUAAAUGAAUGGAAAGGGAAAGUUUCUCA